rnacentral:rRNA from 1 species
CGUCUAUAUACGUAUAGCAUAUCAAUAAGCGGAGGAAAAGAAACUAACAAGGAUUCCCUUAGUAUCGGCGAGUGAAGCGGGAAGAGCUCAAAUUUGAAAUCUUCAAGGUUUUACCUUGACGAAUUGUAGUUUAAAGAAGUGUCUUCUGUUGAAGUUUUGGUAAAAGUUCUUUGGAAUAGGACAUCAUAGAGGGUGAGAAUCCCGUAUUUGACCAUUAUUCUUCCAGCUGUGUGAUACACUUUCAAAGAGUCGGAUUGUUUGGGAAUGCAGUCCAAAAUGGGUGGUAAAUUUCAUCUAAAGCUAAAUACUGGCGAGAGACCGAUAGCGAACAAGUACCGUGAGGGAAAGAUGAAAAGAACUUUGAAAAGAGAGUUAAACAGUACGUGAAAUUGUCAAAAGGGAAGCGUUUGACACCAGUGUUGUUUUCUCGAAAAUCAAUUAAAAAUGAUGGGAUUUUGUGUUGUAUUGACUUUAUCAGCUUUCUGCACUUUUUUCCUAUCUUUUUUAAUGCACUUUUCGUUUAACAAGUCAACAUCAAUUUCUUUUGUUGUAAAAGGGUCAUUGGAAGGUGGCUUUCAUUUCGGUAGAAAGUGUUUAUAGCCUUUGACUUCUGCAAUCGGAGAGAUUGAGGUCUGCAGCGUAGAUCCUUCGGGGUUAGAUGCAUUUGUGCUAAGUUAUAGCCUUUCAUAGACAACUUGUUGACUAUGAUCAGUCAUGUAGCUUACUCGCUUAUGUCAUUUUACCUACGCUUAGGAUGUUGACGAGACUGUCGAUCUC